rnacentral:rRNA from 1 species
UAGGGAAUAUUGCACAAUGGGGGAAACCCUGAUGCAGCGACGCCGCGUGGGGGAUGACGGCCUUCGGGUUGUAAACCCCUUUCAGCAGGGAAGAAGCGCAAGUGACGGUACCUGCAGAAGAAGCCCCGGCUAACUACGUGCCAGCAGCCGCGGUAAUACGUAGGGGGCAAGCGUUGUCCGGAUUUAUUGGGCGUAAAGAGCGUGUAGGCGGUUUGGUAGGUCCGCUGUGAAAACUCGAGGCUCAACCUCGAGACGCCGGUGGAAACCAUCAAACUAGAGUCCGGAAGAGGAGAGUGGAAUUCCUGGUGUAGCGGUGAAAUGCGCAGAUAUCAGGAAGAACACCCGUGGCUAAGGCGGCUCUCUAGUACGGUACUGACGCUGAGACGCGAAAGCGUGGGGAGCGAACAGGAUUAGAUACC